UGAUAAUGGUGAGGAUAAAUAACAUGUAAAGAUUUAAACCUGUCCUAGGCUUGGUAAAAAUUUUCUCCAGUCUUCUGUUUAAAACUCAGGAUUUCACUCCUUAGCUU